UAGGGAAUCUUCGGCAAAUGGACGAAAGUCUGACCGAGCAACGCCGCGUGAGUGAAGAAGGUUUUCGGAUCGUAAAACUCUGUUGGUAGAGAAGAACGUUGGUGAGAGUGGAAAGCUCAUCAAGUGACGGUAACUACCCAGAAAGGGACGGCUAAAUACGUGCCAG
rnacentral:rRNA from 1 species